CUUUUAAGUUUGUGUUCUGGCUCAGGAUGAACGCUGGCGGCGUGCCUAAUACAUGCAAGUCGAGCGAACGGACGAGAAGCUUGCUUCUCUGAUGUUAGCGGCGGACGGGUGAGUAACACGUGGAUAACCUACCUAUAAGACUGGGAUAACUUCGGGAAACCGGAGCUAAUACCGGAUAAUAUUUUGAACCGCAUGGUUCAAAAGUGAAAGACGGUCUUGCUGUCACUUAUAGAUGGAUCCGCGCUGCAUUAGCUAGUUGGUAAGGUAACGGCUUACCAAGGCAACGAUGCAUAGCCGACCUGAGAGGGUGAUCGGCCACACUGGAACUGAGACACGGUCCAGACUCCUACGGGAGGCAGCAGUAGGGAAUCUUCCGCAAUGGGCGAAAGCCUGACGGAGCAACGCCGCGUGAGUGAUGAAGGUCUUCGGAUCGUAAAACUCUGUUAUUAGGGAAGAACAUAUGUGUAAGUAACUGUGCACAUCUUGACGGUACCUAAUCAGAAAGCCACGGCUAACUACGUGCCAGCAGCCGCGGUAAUACGUAGGUGGCAAGCGUUAUCCGGAAUUAUUGGGCGUAAAGCGCGCGUAGGCGGUUUUUUAAGUCUGAUGUGAAAGCCCACGGCUCAACCGUGGAGGGUCAUUGGAAACUGGAAAACUUGAGUGCAGAAGAGGAAAGUGGAAUUCCAUGUGUAGCGGUGAAAUGCGCAGAGAUAUGGAGGAACACCAGUGGCGAAGGCGACUUUCUGGUCUGUAACUGACGCUGAUGUGCGAAAGCGUGGGGAUCAAACAGGAUUAGAUACCCUGGUAGUCCACGCCGUAAACGAUGAGUGCUAAGUGUUAGGGGGUUUCCGCCCCCUUAGUGCUGCAGCUAACGCAUUAAGCACUCCGCCUGGGGAGUACGACCGCAAGGUUGAAACUCAAAGGAAUUGACGGGGACCCGCACAAGCGGUGGAGCAUGUGGUUUAAUUCGAAGCAACGCGAAGAACCUUACCAAAUCUUGACAUCCUUUGACAACUCUAGAGAUAGAGCUUUCCCCUUCGGGGGACAAAGUGACAGGUGGUGCAUGGUUGUCGUCAGCUCGUGUCGUGAGAUGUUGGGUUAAGUCCCGCAACGAGCGCAACCCUUAAGCUUAGUUGCCAUCAUUAAGUUGGGCACUCUAAGUUGACUGCCGGUGACAAACCGGAGGAAGGUGGGGAUGACGUCAAAUCAUCAUGCCCCUUAUGAUUUGGGCUACACACGUGCUACAAUGGACAAUACAAAGGGCAGCGAAACCGCGAGGUCAAGCAAAUCCCAUAAAGUUGUUCUCAGUUCGGAUUGUAGUCUGCAACUCGACUACAUGAAGCUGGAAUCGCUAGUAAUCGUAGAUCAGCAUGCUACGGUGAAUACGUUCCCGGGUCUUGUACACACCGCCCGUCACACCACGAGAGUUUGUAACACCCGAAGCCGGUGGAGUAACCUUUUAGGAGCUAGCCGUCGAAGGUGGGACAAAUGAUUGGGGUGAAGUCGUACAAGGGGAAACCGAG
rnacentral:rRNA from 1 species